AGAAUUUCAAAAUGGUCGAAAAAUGCGCAAAUAAAAGGAGGCGCGGGGAACCCGAGGUAUUCUGCAUAUGUAUAUAUGUACGUCGCCAGGUGGUUUUAAAGAUCCGACGACUCAAUUUGAAUGCAAUUUGGAGCGCAUUUGCAUACGUCAGGAUGAAAGCUGAAGUUACUUAACAGACGUCUCGGCCAUUAAAACGCGUUCCUACCCGAGACAGGAUGUUGUUGAAGAUAUAAAUUUCUUUUAAUUGUGUUUAUGUACAUACGAAUCUAUGAUGCGUAUGGUAAUUUUCGCUGGCGUACGUGCAUUCAUCAAAGAGAAUCGCGCAUAUGCGGGCUUUUCUUAAUAUGUUUUUCUUCGUGGAAUUACGCGUAGCAUCGCAGAUUGUCGCAGCAGGCAAUCAAUCGCGUUCCGCAGUUUUUCCUUUUUUUUUCCUAUUUUUCCUUUUUUCAAGCGCGCGCUUACGCAAUUCAGACCGUGUUUCAAUUUCCAAGUCUAACAGCCUCCGUCGCUACCGUGCACCGGUAGGGGAGAGGGGGGGUUAUCUUUACAUCAUUCUCGGAGAGUCGAGAUGACAAAUGCCUAGAGACCCGCGAGCGGUAUAUCGAAAUUAGAGAUCUCACGUGCGCGUCCGGCUAUUGACGAAGGUCUUUAAUCCUGCCUCAGAUGGACCCUAACGAUCACACGAAUCGUCUUAUCAUGUGCUCGUCUUUCCAUCGGGGAAAAACCUUGUCUUUCGUAUUGUCACGCGUACAACGACAUGCGUAACGCCAACCGUGUCGGGCAUCACAAAUUUCGGUUUAAUCGAGGAUUAUAUUUUGCGCUGGAAAUUUUUAUCGACAAGUACACACGCGUUUUGUCCUCUCGCAAAUUCGGGAAAAUCAUGCCUUUCCAUCGCGUUGCGAAUACAAACGGACGACCGGCGGUAAUAUUUUAGGACACGUAUACGCGGAAUACAUUACGGCUUAUCUAUCGCUUUUAGGCUUGAAUUUUUAACGAUGACGACAGACGCCAAACAUAAAACUCUCUUUCAUAAUGUUCUUUGGAAUCUGAUUAUGCUCGGCGAGAAGAAGUGGAAGAGCUACGGCGACAGAACUGCGGUUGUUUUAAAAUUCCACAAUUCGCUGACGCACAAUCCCAAAAAAUUCAUUUUCUAGUCUUUUUUAAUAUUCAGACGCGCGUUAUAUUUUAGACGACGUAUAAAUCUGUCCUGUUUUUUUUUUGUCAAAAUGCAUCGCUAAUUUUUACUGUUAAAUAAUUCAAUUCGGACACCGUAAUAAUAAUCUACAACACUUAAAAACCACACGGGGGGAAAUAAAUUAAUUGAACAGAAUAAAUUAAAAAUAAUAAAAUGUUACCUAAAGCUCGAGAAAUUAAUUCUUUCAUAAUUAACGGUGUAUAAAUAAAACACAAUGUUUUAUUAAAACAAAAGUAUGUCAAGAGUAUCGUUUCAUUAAUAUUAUUAUUAAAUUAACAAAAUUAUUGAUUAGACUAAAUCUCAUCAGUUAAUUCAACUCUCUAAGCUACAAUUAGCGAAAAAUCAUUGAAAUCAGUAAAAAUACACUGAUUUCAGUGGUACACCUAUAACUUGUCAAUUAGUGAAAUAAAUAUACCGAUCUUUCAGUGAUUAUACAUUAAUUCUGAAGUAAAAAUCACUAAAAGUCAGUGGAUAUUCACAAAUUAUCAUAGUUAUAAGUAUACUACUGCAAAUUAGUGAAAAUACACUAAUUGCAACUCCGAGAGAAUAUGAUCUUUUUCGUGCACAAUAUACGUUUCAGUUGCGAUUCAUCUCUCCCUCGCUCUCAUCGAGAGGUGUCACGUGAGCGUUUCUGUACUAUCGAUAACUAAUCGAUUCUACGACGACGGCGGGGAAUUCGAAACGGCGGCCACGUGUACGGCCGCCCGUCGGAGAGGAGGAUGGUAAAUGGGAAAUUGUAAGGCAGGGUAGGCCACACCAGUGCGUUCCGAACAUGAAUGAAUGAAACCUGCUUCGCCGCUUACAUGUCCAUUAUAGGCACCGCGCAUGUUGCCGCUCCGUCCGCGAUCGGUCGCCAUCUCGCGCUGUACACACGCACACAUACGCAGACUGCACGCGCACAUACACGCAUGCGCCGCGGCCGCGCACAAUGGCGCACGAUCUGUUUUCCCGCGUUCGUGUGUUUACGCGCUCCGAGGAAUCGACGAGGUGCAUCUCGCCGCAUCGUCGUCGCGCGAUCUGUUCAUCUCCCGUGCCUCUCCGCGUACGUGCGUACGCGCGUGUGCGUGUGUUUACGCGAGGGGCAAUUCGGGAAGCUGCUCCUGCCCGUCGUCGGCGCGGUUAGUGGCAUCCUCGCGGCACGGCGUCGCUCGGGAUUGAACCGCGCCAAGGCCGCGCGAUCGCGAGCCGCGAUUCCACGGCGAACGGCCGUGGCCCCCGUGGAUGAGCCACGAAACCCGAUUCCUCGCAUCUCGAGACCCGUCGUCUCUCUCUCGACGAGGAGGACCGAGAGGCCUGCGCUGCCGACCGACAUAACCUAGCGAUCGAUCCCGUCCGAGUCCGUCGUCGCUCGAUCGAGAUUCCACUCCUGGCGUGUACACGCACAAUCAGACGACCUGCCGUUAAAAUUUCCGAGAAUACUCGGCGUCCCUUUAAGACGGAGGAUCAUCCGAUACUUUGAUAAUAUCGAAAUGCCCGGUACAUGAGAACGAGCAUCCGCAUCCGUGUAUCGCGUUACACACAUUGGAUCAAAAUAUCAAAGGUACGUUUCUGUACGUGAAGUAUACCAAGAAUACGUCUGAGAAACGAUCUUAAUGAUUGUAGUCAAUUUUUCUUCUCUGACUGGGUCAGUGGCUUUCAAUGUAGGAGGCAAAAAGUGAAUAUAUGUUUUGUUCGUAAGAAACAUUUAAGAGCGAAGGUGCAUUUAUAUCUUCUGAAAACGAAAAAAAAGCUAAUAGUCGUUUAAUUCUCGAGUUUCUUUUUCUAUAAGAAUAUAAUUAAUGUGUUUGUAAAUGGGGUUGUAUGUAGCAACUGAGUAACAUUUAUCUGUAAAGAUUCAGGUUGAAUUGUUGCAACUCACUUAACUUAUUCUACCCCUUUUCAAAUUAUAGUUUUCUCCCUAAUGUGCACGUAAUGAAAAAAAAAAAAAAAAUAUAAUUUGAAUUUUUUGAAAUUCAA